rnacentral:rRNA from 1 species
AGUGGAUGGGGAGCAACCUAGUUGUGCGUGUGUAAAGGUAGUGCCAAAAAGCGAUGAUCAUGUUGAAAAUCAAUUCCCGGUACCCGAAACCGACACAGGUGGGCAAGUAGAGAAUACUAAGGGGCGCGAGGUAACUCUCUCCAAGGAACUCGGCAAAAUGACCCCGUAACUUAGGGAGAAGGGGUGCCACCGAGAGGUGGUCGCAGUGAAGAGGCCCAGGCGACUGUUUAGCAAAAACAUAGGUCUCUGCAAACUCGAAAGAGGAGGUAUAGGGGCUGACGCCUGCCCAGUGCCGGAAGGUUAAAGAAGUUGGUCAGUUUUAGGAUGAAGCUAGCGACUGAAGCCCCGGUGAACGGCGGCCGUAACUAUAACGGUCCUAAGGUAGCGAAAUUCCUUGUCGGGUAAGUUCCGUUCCGCACGAAAGGCGUAACGAUCUGGGCGCUGUCUCGGAGAGAGGCUCGGCGAAAUAGGAUUGUCUGUGAAGAUACGGACUACCUGCAUUUGGACAGAAAGACCCUAUGAAGCUUUACUAUAGCUUGGAAUUGUGUUCGGGCUUCCUGUGCGCAGGAUAGGUGGGAGGCGUAGAAGGUAUUCUUGUGGGGAUACUGGAGCCAACGGUGAGAUACCACUCUCAGGAGGCUAGAAUUCUAACUUAAUUAAGGACAGUUUCAGGUGGGUAGUUUGACUGGGGCGGUCGCCUCCAAAAAGGUAACGGAGGCGUACAAAGGUUCCCUCAGACUGGUUGGAAAUCAGUCGAAGAGUGCAAAGGCAGAAGGGAGCUUGACUGCGAGAAGUACAGUUCGAGCAGGGUGGAAACACGGUCUUAGUGAUCCGACGGUGCUGUGUGGAAGGGCCGUCGCUCAACGGAUAAAAGUUACUCUAGGAUAACAGGCUGAUCUCCCCCAAGAGUUCACAUCGACGGGGAGGUUUGGCACCUCGAUGUCGGCUCAUCGCAACCUGGGGCGGAAGUACGUCCCAAGGGUUGGGCUGUUCGCCCAUUAAAGCGGUACGUGAGCUGGGUUCAGAACGUCGUGAGACAGUUCGGUCCAUAUCCGAUGUAGGCGUGAGAAUAUUGAGAGGAGCCUUCCUUAGUACGAGAGGACCGGGAAGGACGCACCGCUGGUGUACCUGUUAUGAUGCCAAUUGUAAACGCAGGGUAGCCAAGUGCGGAGAGGAUAACCGCUGAAAGCAUCUAAGUGGGAAGCCCACCUCAAGAUGAGUAUUCUGGUGUAAGGUCACGGGAAGACGACCCGUAAAUAGGCACGAGGUGGAAGUGCAGAGAUGUAUGAAGCCGAAGUGUACUAAUAGACCGUCGGCUUGAC